ensembl:snoRNA
AAAGCAGGUUGCAAUUACAGUACUUCAUUCUGUGGAAGUAUUGCCAUUAUCCUGCUGAAAGAAAAGCCGUGUUUAAUCAUUUCCGGGUUUGCCUGUAUGGGGGUAAAAUCCUAACAGAUUGACACGGACAAUU